GAUGAACGCUGACAGAAUGCUUAACACAUGCAAGUCGAUUGGGAAGUGGUGCUUGCACCAUGGUAAUCAUGGCGGACGCGUGAGUAACGCGUAAGGAACUUACCCGCGGGACCGGUAUAACAGCUUGAAACUGCUGACAAGACCGGAUAAGGUCAUUAAGCUUCCUAGCUUAGUGAUGAAAGGUGACGCCUGCGGAGAGCCUUGCGUCCUAUUAGCUAGUUGGAGGGGUAACGGCCCACCAAGGCGAAGAUAGGUAGCCGGCCUGAGAGGGUGGACGGCCACAAGGGGACUGAGAUACGGCACUAACUGCUAAGGGAGGCAGGAGUGGAGAAUAUUAGAAAAUGGGGGCAACUCUGAUCCAGCAAUUCUGUGUGCAAGAAGACGGUUUUGGGAUUGUAAAGUGCUUUAAGAAGGGAAGAAGGAAGUGACGGUACCGGCAGAAGAAGCGACGGCUAAAUACGUG
rnacentral:rRNA from 1 species